rnacentral:rRNA from 1 species
AUGGUCUACCGGAUCUCGACGGCGGAGGAAUCGGCGCGAGGCGCGUCCCUCUCGCUCGCCCCGCCCCCGCUCCCCUCCCGCGACACCGUCCUCAAGCGGGCCUUCACUCUGGACGCCCUCCCGGCCGCCGACCGCCGCUUCAUCAACGUCUUCGGCAGCAGCGUCCUCGCCGCGAGCGGCCACGACCUCCUCCUGCUCGGCGCCUACAAGAACCGCGCCAACGCCUUCGAAAUGUUUGAGGGCCGGGCCCCGACCGCCGCCCCUUUCGAGGUCCUCGACCAGGUGUACGAGCGCUGGUGCUGCUUCGACCCGAUGAGGCUCGCCCGCUUCGCCUGCAACCCCGUCACCGGCGAGAUGGCGCGCCUCCCGGACUUCGACGGCGCGGAGGACGCCUUCGCCGCGUCCACAGGCCUCCUCACCCACGCCGACGGCGGGCACGGGCCGCCCAGGAGUUACGCCGCUGCGCAGCUCAGCGUGGUCGGCCGCGGACGCCGAUUCCUGUUGCGCCGACUCACUUCAGAGACUGGAAAGUGGGAGGAAUUGCGUAAUGAUUGA